rnacentral:rRNA from 1 species
CCUACGGGUGGCAGCAGUGAGGAAUAUUGGUCAAUGGGCGGAAGCCUGAACCAGCCAAGUAGCGUGCAGGAUGACGGCCCUACGGGUUGUAAACUGCUUUUAUACGGGAAUAACGCGCCUUACGUGUAGGGCUUUGCAUGUACCGCAUGAAUAAGGACCGGCUAAUUAUGUGCCAGCAGCCGCGGUAAUACGGAAGUUCCGGGCGUUAUCCGGAUUUAUUGGGUUUAACGGGAGCGUAGGCGGCAUGUCAAGCUUGGUGGGAAAGGUCCGGGCUCAACCCGCGGAUUGCAGGGCGAACUGGAGGGCGUGAGUGCAGGGGAGGUAAGCGGAAUUCGUAGUGGAGCGGUGAAAUGCGUAGAUAUGAGGAGGAACACCAGUUGCGAAGGCGGCUUACUGCAGCGGAACUGACGUUGAGGCUCGAAAGCGCGGGUAUCGAACAGGAUUAGAUACCCUUGUAGUC